GCAAGAACUAUUACCUAAAAAUUAAUGGAAAACUAAACCAAAGCUGUAGAACGCCACGGUAUAUAAGAACAACAACUAUGCCAUUAAGCCACCAAGGCUACUCGAACCCACGAAAGCUAAGAAACAAACUGGGAUUAGAUACCCCACUAUGCCUAGCCAUUAACACAGACAGCUUAAAACAACAAUGCUGUCCGCCAGAGAACUACAAGCGAAAAACUAGAAACUCUAAGGACUUGGCGGUGCUCCACACCUACCUAGAGGAGCCUGUCCUAUAAUCGAUACCCCACGUUAAACCCUACCGCCCCUCGCAUGAACCAACCUAUAUACCGCCGUCGCCAGCCUACCUUAUGAAAGAACAAUAGUAAGCAAAACAGUAAGCACUAAUACGUCAGGUCAAGGUGUAGUAAAUGAGGCGGAAGAGAUGGGCUACAUUUCCUAAAAUAGAAAACACGAACAGCAAGAUGAAACACUUGCUAGAAGGAGGAUUUAGCAGUAAGACAAAAAACUUUUUUUAUCUUAAGACAGCUCUGGAGCGCGCACACACCGC
rnacentral:rRNA from 1 species